rnacentral:rRNA from 1 species
UAAUACUCCAUAGAUUAGAGACACUGGAAUGUUCUUUAUUCGAAAGUUCUGGCGCCUUAGGAUGGAUCUGCGGUCGAUUAGGUUGUUGUUGGGGUAACGGCCCAACAAGCCUGUAAUCGAUACGGGUUGUGGGAGCAAGAGCCCGGAGAUGGAAUCUGAGACACGAUUCCAGGCCCUACGGGGCGCAGCAGGCGCGAAAACUUUACAAUGCAGGAAACUGUGAUAAGGGAACUCCGAGUGCCCGUAUACGCGGGCUGUCCAGGUGUUUAAAAAUCAUCUGAAGAAAGGGCCGGGCAAGACCGGUGCCAGCCGCCGCGGUAAUACCGGCGGCUCGAGUGGUGGCCACUAUUAUUGGGCUUAAAGCGUCCGUAGCUGGACCGAUAAGUCUCUUGGGAAAUCCGCCGGCUCAACCGGCGGGCGUCUAAGGGAUACUGUUAGUCUAGGGACCGGGAGAGGUGAGAGGUACUCCGGGGGUAGGAGUGAAAUCCUGUAAUCCCCGGGGGACCACCGAUGGCGAAGGCAUCUCACCAGAACGGCUCCGACAGUGAGGGACGAAAGCUGGGGGAGCGAACCGGAUUAGAUACCCGGGUAGUCCCAGCCGUAAACUAUGCGCGUUAGGUGUAU